rnacentral:rRNA from 1 species
CGUGCAGAAGCGGGGAUAAAACCAUAAGACGAGAAGACCCUAUGGAGCUUUAGACACACAGGUGGACCAUGUCAAAUACCCCCAGCUAAGGGCCUGAACUAAAUGGAACCUGCCUUGAUGUCUUCGGUUGGGGCGACCAUGGGGAAUACAAAACCCCCACGUGGAAAGGGAGCACACCCCUAAGUUACUUCUUCUCCCGCAAGCCAGAGCAACAGCUCUAACAAGCAGAAAUUCUGACCAAACUGAUCCGGUAAAACCGAUCAACGAACCAAGUUAC